rnacentral:rRNA from 1 species
GUCAGCAGCCGCGGUAACACCGGCGGCCCGAGUGGUGAUCGUGAUUAUGGGUCUAAAGGGUCCGUAGCCGGUUUGGUCAGUCCUCCGGGAAAUCUGAUAGCUCAACUAUUAGGCUUUCGGGGGAUACUGCCAGACUUGGAACCGGGAGAGGUAAGAGGUACUACAGGGGUAGGAGUGAAAUCUUGUAAUCCCUGUGGGACCACCUGUGGCGAAGGCGUCUUACCAGAACGGGUUCGACGGUGAGGGACGAAAGCUGGGGGCACGAACCGGAUUAGAUACCCGGGUAGUCCCAGCCGUAAACGAUGCUCGCUAGGUGUCAGGCAUGGCGCGACCGUGUCUGGUGCCGCAGGGAAGCCGUGAAGCGAGCCACCUGGGAAGUACGGCCGCAAGGCUGAAACUUAAAGGAAUUGGCGGGGGAGCACAACAACGGGUGGAAGCCUGCGGUUUAAUUGGACUCAACGCCGGACAACUCACCGGGGGCGACAGCAAUAUGUAGGCCAAGCUGAAGACUUUGCCUGAAUCGCUGAGGAGUGGUGCAUGG